UGGCGGCGUGCCUAAUACAUGCAAGUCGAGCGAACAGACGAGGAGCUUGCUCCUCUGACGUUAGCGGCGGACGGGUGAGUAACACGUGGAUAACCUACCUAUAAGACUGGGAUAACUUCGGGAAACCGGAGCUAAUACCGGAUAANAUNUUGAACCGCAUGGUUCAANAGUGAAAGACGGUCUUGCUGUCACUUAUAGAUGGAUCCGCGCCGCAUUAGCUAGUUGGUAAGGUAACGGCUUACCAAGGCAACGAUGCGUAGCCGACCUGAGAGGGUGAUCGGCCACACUGGAACUGAGACACGGUCCAGACUCCUACGGGAGGCAGCAGUAGGGAAUCUUCCGCAAUGGGCGAAAGCCUGACGGAGCAACGCCGCGUGAGUGAUGAAGGUCUUCGGAUCGUAAAACUCUGUUAUUAGGGAAGAACAAAUGUGUAAGUAACUNUGCACNUCUUGACGGUACCUAAUC
rnacentral:rRNA from 1 species